GAUGAACGCUAGCGGGAGGCUUAAUACAUGCAAGUCGGACGGUAACAUUGGAGCUUGCUCCAGAUGACGAGUGGCGAACGGGUGAGUAACGCGUACACAACCUACCUUUAAGUGGUGAAUACCCUUUGGAAACGGAGACUAAUACACCAUAGUAUUAACUGAUCGAUAAUUGGUUAAUUAAAGCUCCGGCGCUUAAAGAUGGGUGUGCGUACUAUUAGCUAGUUGGUAAGGUAAUGGCUUACCAAGGCUACGAUAGUUAGGGGGCGUGAGAGCGUGAACCCCCACACGGGUACUGAGACACGGACCCG
rnacentral:rRNA from 1 species